rnacentral:rRNA from 1 species
UACGUAGGAGACUAGCGUUGUCCGGAAUUACUGGGUGUAAAGCGCGUGUAGGCGGCAUACCAAGUCUGUUGUGAAAUCGCCCGGCUCAACUGGGCGGGGUCAAUGGAAACUGGUAAGCUGGAGGACGGUAGAGGCGAGUGGAAUUCCCGGUGUAGUGGUGAAAUGCGUAGAGAUCGGGAGGAACACCUGUGGCGAAGGCGGCUCGCUGGGCCGAUCCUGACGGCUGAGACGCGAAGGCGUGGGGAGCGAACGGG